rnacentral:rRNA from 1 species
AUUGAACGCUGGCGGCAUGCCUUACACAUGCAAGUCGAACGGUAACAGGUUAAGCUGACGAGUGGCGAACGGGUGAGUAUUGUAUCGGAACGUGCCCAGUCGUGGGGGAUAACUACUCGAAAGAGUGGCUAAUACCGCAUACGACCUGAGGGUGAAAGCGGGGGACCGUAAGGCCUCGCGCGAUUGGAGCGGCCGAUAUCAGAUUAGCUAGUUGGUGGGGUAAAAGCCCACCAAGGCGACGAUCUGUAGCUGGUCUGAGAGGACGACCAGCCACACUGGGACUGGGACACGGCCCAGACUCCUACGGGAGGCAGCAGUGGGGAAUUUUGGACAAUGGACGCAAGUCUGAUCCAGCCAUGCCGCGUGCGGGAAGAAGGCCUUCGGGUUGUAAACCGCUUUUGUCAGGGAAGAAACGAGUUUCUCUAAUACAGAGACUUAAUGACGGUACCUGAAGAAUAAGCACCGGCUAACUACGUGCCAGCCGCCGCCGUAAUAC